GCCAGGAAACUGAAAGGUUGCAGGAUCGAAGCCUCGAGCUGACAAGGUAAAACACUGCCGUUCUGCCCGACUGAACAAGGCAGUUUAACCCACUGUUCCCCUGAACAAGGCAGUUAACGCCACUGUUCCCCUGAACAAGGCAGUUUAACCCACUGUUCCCCUGAACAAGGCAGUUAACCCACUGUUCCCCUGAACAAGGCAGUUAACCCACUGUUCCCCUGAACAAGGCAGUUAACCCACUGUUCCCCUGAACAAGGCAGUUAACCCCAUUGUUCCCCUGAACAAGGCAGUUAACCCACUGUUCCCCUGAACAAGGCAGUUAACCCCACUGUUCCCCUGAACUUGGCAGUUAACCC
ensembl:lncRNA